rnacentral:tRNA from 1 species
GUAUUAGUAGCUCAACAACUUUACAGCUUCGAUCUUGUAAUUCGGUUAUGAAGGUUAGAAUCCUUCCUAGUACA